CCUACGGGUGGCAGCAGUGGGGAAUAUUGCACAAUGGGGGAAACCCUGAUGCAGCGACGCCGCGUGAGUGAAGAAGGAUUUCGGUAUGGAAAGCUCUAUCAGCAGGGAAGAAAAUGACGGUACCUGAUUAUGAAGCCCCGUCUAACUACGUGCCAGCAGCCGCGGUAAUACGUAGGGGGCCAGCGUUAUCCGGAUUUACUGGGUGUAAAGGGAGCGUAGACGGGAAAACAAGUCUGUAGUGAAAUGCUGGGGCUUAACCCCGGAACUGCUUUGGAAACUGUGCAGCUAGAGUGAAGGAGAGGUAAGUGGAAUGCGUGGUGUAGCGGUGAAAUGCGUAGAUAUUAGGAGGAACACCAGUGGCGAAGGCGGCUUACUGGACUGUAACUGACGUUGAGGCUCGAAAGCGUGGGGAGCAAACAGGAUUAGAUACCCGAGUAGUC
rnacentral:rRNA from 1 species